GCACUGGUGGUUCAGUGGUAGAAUGCUCGCCUGCCACGCGGGCGGCACCAGUUCGAUUCCCGGCCAAUGCA
rfam:Angiostrongylus costaricensis strain Costa Rica genome assembly, scaffold: ACOC_scaffold0001405